CAAGUACAAAGAGAAGCAAGACCGUGAGGUGGAGCAAAACUCAAAAACUUGUCUCAGUUCGGAUUGUAGGCUGAAACUCGCCUACAUGAAGCUGGAGUUGCUAGUAAUCGCGAAUCAGCACGUCGCGGUGAAUACGUUCCCGGGCCUUGUACACACCGCCCGUCACACCAUGGGAGUCGGCAACGCCCGAAGCCAGUGACCCAACCUUUCGAGGAGGGAGCUGUCGAAGGCGGGGCCGGUAACUGGGGUGAAGUCGUAACAAGGUAAC
rnacentral:rRNA from 1 species